AUUGAACGCUGGCGGCAGGCCUAACACAUGCAAGUCGAGCGGAGGAAGGGAGCUUGCUCCUGGAUUCAGCGGCGGACGGGUGAGUAAUGCCUAGGAAUCGGCCUGGUAGUGGGGGAUAACGUCCGGAAACGGGCGCUAAUACCGCAUACGUCCUGAGGGAGAAAGUGGGGGAUCUUCGGACCUCACGCUAUCAGAUGAGCGUAGGGCGGAUUAGCUAGUUGGUGGGGUAAAGUCCUACCAAGGCGACGAUCCGUAACUGGUCUGAGAGGAUGAUCAGUCACAAUGGAACUGAGACACGGUCCAGACUACUACGGGAGGCAGCAGUGGGGAAUAUUGGACCAUGGGCGAAAGCCUGCUCCAGCCAUGCCGCGUGUGUGAAGAAGGUCUUCGGAUUGUAAAGCACUUUAAGUUGGGAGGAAGGGCAGUAAGUUAAUACCUUGCUGUUUUGACGUUACCAACAGAAUAAGCACCGGCUAACUUCGUG
rnacentral:rRNA from 1 species